AUGCUGAGCUGACUGGGUCCAGGUCCCUGCAUUGGCAUAUGGUUAGACCCAGGCAUGUUGUGAGAGCGGGGAGGGGGUGGAGGGCCACUCUGACUCAUCCCUCCAGGACCCAUUGGCAUAGUCUGUGUGGGCAGUGCUGGUAAGAGAGACUGCAUAUUUUGAUUAGAGUCUGCUAUUGUAGCAAGGUAUACCAGGUUUGUAUGCAAUAUCUGCUGAUACUGCGAGCACUCCGAGGCCUUCCCUUUGUUCUGAUAGUCCAUUAUACACUGAAUAAGAUGGUUGUUUUCAUCCAGCAUCUUCUGGAUGGUGGUGGGCGUGAUUU
rnacentral:lncRNA from 1 species